UACGAACUGUGCGAACGUUAUUCGGAAUCACUGGGCUUAAAGGGUGCGUAGGCGGCGGCUCCAGUCAGGUGUGAAAUCCCCCGGCUCAACCGGGGAACUGCGCUUGAAACUAGGUCGCUGGAGUGAGGCAGGGGUCUGUGGAACUUCCGGUGGAGCGGUGAAAUGUGUAGAGAUCGGAAGGAACGCCGGCGGCGAAAGCGGCAGACUGGGCCUUGACUGACGCUGAGGCACGAAAGCUAGGGGAGUGAACGGG
rnacentral:rRNA from 1 species